rnacentral:rRNA from 1 species
UCCUACGGGGGGCAGCAGUGGGGGAUAUUGCACAAUGGGGGAAACCCUGAUGCAGCGACGCCGCGUGAGUGAAGAAGUAUUUCGGUACGUAAAGCUCUAUCAGCAGGGAAGAAUAAUGACGGUACCUGACUAAGAAGCCCCGGCUAACUACGUGCCAGCAGCCGCGGUAAUACGUAGGGGGCAAGCGUUAUCCGGAUUUACUGGGUGUAAAGGGAGCGUAGACGGUGAUGCAAGUCAGAAGUGAAAGCCCGCGGCUCAACUGCGGGACUGCUUUUGAAACUGUAUAACUAGAGUGCAGGAGAGGU